ACCCUCCUUUUCUUGGGUUGUGCAACUAUCCAAUGAACGGACAGUGAGGGUAGUACUGCUAAUGCCGAAGCCACACACUCACAUCAGUUAAAGCUCUGCUUUAUCCUGAUGCAAUUUAUGGAAAA
ensembl:snRNA